GGUGCCAAUGACCUCCGUCGUUCCAGACUCUAACUGUUCACAUUAACUUCCAAAAUGUGAGCUCGGUGUCCGGGCAGCUGAAUCUCUGAGCAGCCAACUCUCCAGGAGGAUAAUGUAGGCCUCGGGAUACAAUAUUUGGACUACGAUUAUGCAUGAUAUAGUAUGCACAAUGAUCAGCUUGCCGCCUCACAGCACAGCAAUCUUGGGUUCGAUUCCCACCAUGGCCCUAUCUGUCUACAGUUUGUAUCUUCUUCCCCUGCUUGCGUGGGUUUCCUCUGGGUACUCCGGUUUCCUCCCACAAUCCAAAAAUAGACUGCUUAUAGAGGUGGAAAAUAAGAGCACAGCGACUGAUCGGACAGCAGAGGCAUAGGUCCCGCUAUGGAGGAGAGGGCAUGUUCCAGAUCUCUUUACAUCGAGACCAUACACAAUACCCAUAAUGCACCAGUUGCCCAACUAUCCAACUCUCUUGCUUCCAUUUUUGUCUGUAGACCUGAUAUUUAUUUAUACAUGUUAGAGACUGGAGCACACCGUGGUCUGUCUCCGUUCCAGCGCUAGAGGCAGUUUCCCUGCUCUAGCGUUUACCCUCUAGUGUCAGCUCAAUGCGGGAGGAGGUGCCUGAUGUAUACUGUCUGGGCGGGACUGCGCGCUUCUUCCUGUGUUCUUCCUGGGAGAGACAAACUGCACGGACGUGCAGCUUCUACUCUCCUGCAUAGUGUGACCUUGACCGCAGCCGCACCCUGCAUAUGUGUAACCACUGUGAAACCGCUUUACUGCAUUACCAGCUUAUUGUAAGUUCCUGCUGCUGCAGAACCUCUUCUGUGUACAAUGAACUGUUAACUCUG